GAGGGUGAAUGACUUGCUCAGUAAGCUCAUGCCGGUCGAAGAUACCAGGCCGCUGCGACUGUUUAUUAAAAACACAGCACUCUGCAAACACGAAAGUGGACGUAUAGGGUGUGACGCCUGCCCGGUGCCGGAAGGUUAAUUGAUGGGGUUAGCGCAAGCGAAGCUCUUGAUCGAAGCCCCGGUAAACGGCGGCCGUAACUAUAACGGUCCUAAGGUAGCGAAAUUCCUUGUCGGGUAAGUUCCGACCUGCACGAAUGGCGUAACGAUGGCGGCGCUGUCUCCACCCGAGACUCAGUGAAAUUGAAAUCGCUGUGAAGAUGCAGUGUAUCCGCGGCUAGACGGAAAGACCCCGUGAACCUUUACUGUAGCUUUGCACUGGACUUUGAGCCUGCUUGUGUAGGAUAGGUGGGAGGCUUUGAAGCGUGGACGCCAGUUCGCGUGGAGCCAUCCUUGAAAUACCACCCUGGCAUGCUUGAGGUUCUAACUCUGGUCCGUCAUCCGGAUCGAGGACAGUGUAUGGUGGGCAGUUUGACUGGGGCGGUCUCCUCCUAAAGAGUAACGGAGGAGUACGAAGGUGCGCUCAGACCGGUCGGAAAUCGGUCGCAGAGUAUAAAGGCAAAAGCGCGCUUGACUGCGAGACAGACACGUCGAGCAGGUACGAAAGUAGGUCUUAGUGAUCCGGUGGUUCUGUAUGGAAGGGCCAUCGCUCAACGGAUAAAAGGUACUCCGGGGAUAACAGGCUGAUACCGCCCAAGAGUUCAUAUCGACGGCGGUGUUUGGCACCUCGAUGUCGGCUCAUCACAUCCUGGGGCUGAAGCCGGUCCCAAGGGUAUGGCUGUUCGCCAUUUAAAGUGGUACGCGAGCUGGGUUUAGAACGUCGUGAGACAGUUCGGUCCCUAUCUGCCGUGGACGUUUGAGAUUUGAGAGGGGCUGCUCCUAGUACGAGAGGACCGGAGUGGACGAACCUCUGGUGUUCCGGUUGUCACGCCAGUGGCACUGCCGGGUAGCUAUGUUCGGAAGAGAUAACCGCUGAAAGCAUCUAAGCGGGAAACUUGCCUCAAGAUGAGAUCUCACUGGAGCCUCGAGCUCCCUGAAGGGCCGUCGAAGACUACGACGUUGAUAGGCAGGG
rnacentral:rRNA from 2 species